AGGCCUUGACAUGCAGAGAACUUUCCAGAGAUGGAUUGGUGCCUUCGGGAACUCUGACACAGGUGCUGCAUGGCUGUCGUCAGCUCGUGUUGUGAGAUGUUGGGUUAAGUCCCGUAACGAGCGCAACCCUUGUCCUUAGUUACCAGCACGGUUAUGGUGGGCGACUCUAAGGAGACUGCCGGUGACAAACCGGAGGAAGGUGGGGAUGACGUCAAGUCAUCAUGGCCCUUACGGCCUGGGCUACACACGUGCUACAAUGGUCGGUACAAAGGGUUGCCAAGCCGCGAGGUGGAGCUAAUCCCAUAAAACCGAUCGUAAGUCCGGAUCGCAGUCUGCAACUCGACUGCGUGAAGUCGGAAUCGCUAGUAAUCGUGAAUCAGAAUGUCACGGUGAAUACGUUCCCGGGCCUU
rnacentral:rRNA from 1 species